rnacentral:lncRNA from 1 species
GAAUUUAUUUAGGUUAAAGUUAUCAGCAGUUCUUAAGCUGUCCUCUAGAUUUGUACCCUGACUCUCACAGACAAGGCUACUGGGCUCCUCACUUCCAAAGCAGCACGUACAGACGGAGGCUCUUUGAAAGAAGGUGUGCGUCCUCUUUGAAAACAUAGCUGCCUGCUGUAUGAUUUCAGCCCAUGAUGAACAGUGCAUCGAUGCUGAGCACAACUACCCUAAGAGAUGUGCCAUUACGCGCUAUUACUGGAAUCGGCUGCUGGAAAUACAGACUAUGACAGAGCACCACAGCAAAGCAGCGUGGUGUUUUCAUGCAGAAAGGCAGAUUCCAUCACAGUCCCGGACCACAGUCAGCAAGCAUUAGACUGCUGCUAUCGGGUAGAGUCAUUCUAGCCAAGACACAAGAUUUAGCAGAUGUUUAGCAAAAGGUUCCAUUCGUCUUGCCACAGACACAUGUGGAGCUGUCAAGAGUCUAGUAAAGAUUUUACAAGUUUUAUAAGUCAUAGUUUAUUGAGCUUGGGAAAGAAUUUAAUAUGGCAUCACGAUCUUGGAAGCUGUUUUUUUUCUGGCAUAACAUGUUUUAAUUUGUUUCUAAAGGUCAGUAAGGAUGGAGAAAUAUGGCUUGCUGGCAUGGCGGAGAGCAUGAUGGAGGUAAAGGAGACGACCACUUUGAGAAGAAGACUCACUGCAUCUGAAACACAUGCUGCUGAGGACAACCGGUCUGUUCAUGGGCCCCCAGAAGUGGAGCUGCUUGUCCAAAAGAUGUUGUUGUCCAAAGAUACCCCACAGGUAGUCGAGGACCCUGUGGAUCAACAGCAGAGCUGGGAACAUGAGCCAACUCUGAGGCUCUUCAGGGAAAUACUCUGUGAAACGUAACAAUAGAGAUGCGGUGAGGAUAACCGAGGGAUGUCGAUUCUGAUGCAGACAGAAAGGAGCUUCAGAUGCAGUUUUCCUCCUGGGGCUGGAGAGGAGAGCAGGAGGAGGAAAACAAGGCAACCUCCAGCAGUGUUUCUGAGCCUUCUGGAACAGACAGAGAUAGGUCGCUAAGCCCUUGAGGCUGAAGAGGGAUGUUCCCUAAAUAUAAAAUUCUGAUAAAUCUCCUUAUGCUUCUCCUUGAUGCUUUUUGUAUAACUCACCAUUCUGCAACAGCCCAGAGUCAGGAUCUGUGAUUAAAUUCAGCUUUUCAGGGUCCUGGAUAUAUUUAUAAGGGAUUGCUAAUUGUUACCCUUUAUUCAAAAAUAAAUGCAACAUCUCUCACUCUCCCUGUUUAAAG